rnacentral:lncRNA from 1 species
CACCUGGAUUAUGUUAACAGCAAGUUAGCAGGCCACAUCAUUCAGAAGAUACGGGAAAUUAAUAUUCUUGAGAAGAGAGGAAAUUAGACACUACCUGAGAGGGUGGGGCAUCCAGCUCCUAAUGAAAAACAACUUUUGAUAACACGGAUAACACAGUACUAUCACCUUCAAAGUGUUUGUGCCUUUCAGAAUUUGCCCACUCAUCUGGUAUAACUGGUUCUGAUGGCUGGGAAUAAAGGAAGAGGACGUGCUGCUUAUACCUUUAAUAUUGAGGCUGUUGGAUUUAGCAAAGGUGAAAAGUUACCUGAUGUAGUGUUGAAACCACCCCCACUAUUUCCU